rnacentral:rRNA from 1 species
UACGGGGGGAGCAAGCGUUGUUCGGAUUUACUGGGCGUAAAGGGCGCGUAGGCGGCCACCGCAAGUCGACUGUGAAAUCUCCGGGCUUAACUCGGAAAGGUCAGCCGAUACUGCGGGGCUAGAGUGCAGAAGGGGCAACUGGAAUUCUCGGUGUAGCGGUGAAAUGCGUAGAUAUCCGGAAGAACACCGGUGGCGAAGGCGGCCUGCUGGGCAGUAUGGCUGACACUGAGGCGCGACAGCGUGGGGAGCAAACAGG